rnacentral:rRNA from 1 species
AGUGAACGCUGGCGGUAGGCCUAACACAUGCAAGUCGAACGGCAGCACAGUAAGAGCUUGCUCUUACGGGUGGCGAGUGGCGGACGGGUGAGGAAUACAUCGGAAUCUACUUUUUCGUGGGGGAUAACGUAGGGAAACUUACGCUAAUACCGCAUACGACCUACGGGUGAAAGCAGGGGAUCUUCGGACCUUGCGCGAUUGAAUGAGCCGAUGUCGGAUUAGCUAGUUGGCGGGGUAAAGGCCCACCAAGUCGACGAUCCGUAGCUGGUCUGAGAGGAUGAUCAGCCACACUGGAACGGAGACACGGUCCAGACUCCUACGGGAGGCAGCAGUGGGGAAUAUUGGACAAUGGGCGCAAGCCUGAUCCAGCCAUACCGCGUGGGUGAAGAAGGCCUUCGGGUUGUAAAGCCCUUUUGUUGGGAAAGAAAAGCAGCAGGUUAAUACCCCGCUGUUCUGACGGUACCCAAAGAAUAAGCACCGGCUAACUUCGUG